GACGAACCGUGCGAACGUUGUUCGGAUUCACUGGGCUUAAAGGGCGCGUAGGCGGCCGAUUAAGUCGGGGGUGAAAGCCUGUGGCUCAACCACAGAAUUGCCUUCGAUACUGGUUGGCUUGAGACCGGAAGAGGACAGCGGAACUGCGAGUGUAGAGGUGAAAUUCGUAGAUAUUCGCAAGAACACCAGUGGCGAAGGCGGCUGUCUGGUCCGGUUCUGACGCUGAGGCGCGAAAGCGUGGGGAGCAAACAGG
rnacentral:rRNA from 1 species